rnacentral:rRNA from 1 species
UACGAACCGUCCAAACGUUACUCGGAAUCACUGGGCUUAAAGGGUGCGUAGGCCGCGCGGAGGGUGGGAUGUGAAAUCCCCCGGCUCAACCGGGGAAUAGCGUCCCAAACCGCCGUGCUCGAGGGAGACAGAGGUGAGCGGAACUGAUGGUGGAGCGGUGAAAUGCGUUGAUAUCUACAGGAACUCCGGUGGCGAAAGCGGCGUGCUGGACCUUUUCUGACGCUGAGGCGCGAAAGCUAGGGGAGCAAACGGG